UCUUCCUCCUUUUCCCCAUUUUUCCUCCUUUCUCCCUUGGGUCCUGAUCCGUUUCUGUUUUGUCCUGUCUCUUUGGCUCUGUCUAUCACCUCUCCCUCAUGUGUCUCUCUCUCUCCCUGUCUCUCGCCCUCCUGCUUCACUUGCUUCUCCUGCCUGCACUCUGUUUGCUGAUUGCUGCAAUGAGUUUCAGCUGCAGCAAUCAGUUUACACUAUUCACCAGUUCUCCACCUCUCCUGCACCUAUUUAAGCUCUGCCCGUUCUUUCACUCCCUGCCGGAUCAUAGAUUCACAUUCCCUUCUUAGAUUCUGUUGCCCUCCGAGAUUCAGUUUCCACAUGGACUUUGCUUCUCCACCUUUGGACUCCGUUUUACCCCCUCCUGGAUUUUCCCCAUAUGGACUCAGUUCUCUUACCGGAUUCUCACCAGGCCUGCUUCAGUCUCCAGCCUGUUUUUCCUGCCUCGCCUCUGUCCGCCCCUGGUUUCCCUCAGCCUGUCUUCCCCCUCCGGUGUCAGUUCCCCCCAUCUUAGGUUGACGGUGAUGAGCGAUUUCAGCACUGAUCGAUUGCAGAUGAAGUGUUCAUGCUGAAGUUACGGCUGUCUAUGGAAUGAGAGGAGAAAAAAAAAAUCAAUGAAUGAAUGCUUGGAUCUCUUACCAUCCAUCAGAAAACUCCAAGAAUCCCUCUUUGUUCAAAUUAAAUAAAAAAGACUGAGAGAGAAAAGCAAAGCUGUUUAACUGUAUGCACAAAGCCAAUAAUAUCAAAAAAGCUGUCAGCUGACCAGUAUGUCGAUAUGUAAAUGGUCCAAAAAUAAGUUUAUUUGUUAUUUGGACGUAAAACAGCAUCCCCUUUCAUUGAUCAAACCUAUAAGUCACAAAGAAAGUAUCCCACCAGAUCAAAAAAUUGGGAUGAGAGGUUCUACAUUAGGUGCCAAAGUUUAGAACCUCCUCAGGGAGUGACAGGUGGAAAUUUCUUAUAUUUAUGGUCUGUUGCUGUCUUUGCUAUUGAAGCAUGUGGUGUCAUUAUCACAAAAAAAAAAAAAAAAAAAAUCACUGUAAGGAAAGUUAUCUACUGAUGUAGAUUUCAAAUGACUGCCAAUUUGUCUAGGACAAGUUUUCAGGAAAGUAACCUCAUAUCAGCUGUGAAACCUGGUGAUCCAAAUGUGAUGACUUGCCAAUGUUUUGGUGUGAAGCAUCAGCACUGGGGAGCUUGAAGUCACAGGUUCAGCUACACCAAUCAUAACAUUAUGACCACCUGCCUAAUAUAGUGUCGGUCCCCCUUUUGCUGCCAAAACAUCCCUGACCUGCCGAGGCACUCCACUAGACCCCUGAAGGUGUGCUGUGGUAUCUGGCACCAAGAUGUUAGCAGCAGAUCCUUAAAAGUCCUGUAAGUUGCAAGGUGGAGCCUCCAUGGAUCAGACUUGUUUGUCCAGCACAUCCCACAGAUGCUUGAUUGGAUUGAGAUCUGGGGAAUUUGGAGGCCAAGUGAACACCUCAAACUUUUUGUGCUCCUUCAACCAUUCCUGAACCAUUUUUUGCUGUGUGGCACAGCACAUUAUUCUGCUGAAAGAGGCCACAUCAGGGAACACAGUUUCCAUGAAAAGUGUCCAUGGUCUGCAACAAUGCUUAGAUAGGUAGUGUAAGUCAAAGUAACAUCCACAUGGAUGGCAGAACCCAAGGUUUCCCAGCAGAACAUUGCCCAAAGCAUCACACUGCCUCCACCGGCUUGCCUUCUUCCCAUAGUGUACCCUGGUGCCAUGUGUUCCUCAGGUAAGCAAUGCACACGCCAUCCACGUGAUUCAUCAGACCGCCACCUUCUUCCAUGGCUCUGUGGUCCAGUUCUGAUGCUCACGUGCUCAUUGUUGGUGCUUUCGGUGGUGCACAGGGGUCAGCAUGUGCACUCUGACUCAUCUGUGGCUAUGCAGCCCCAUAUGCAACAAACUGUGAUGCACUGUGUAUUCUGAUACCUUUCUAUCAGAGCCAGUAUUAAUUUUUUCAGUAAUUUGAGCAACAGUAGCUCAUCUGUUGGAUCGGACCACACGGGCCAGCCUUCACUCCUUACAUGCAUCAAUGAGCCUCUGUUCAUUCUUUGGACCACUUUUGAUAGAUAUUGACCACUGUGGAUCAGGAACAUCCCACAAGAGCUGCAGUUUUUGAGAUGCUCUGAUCCAGUCGUCCAGCCAUCACAAUUUGGUCCUUGUCAAACUCGCUAAAAUCCUUACGCUUGUCUAUUUGUGCUGCAACUAAUACAUCAACAAAACAUUCACUCACUGCCUAAUAUAUCCAACCGGCUAACAGGUGCCACAACAAAGAGAUAAUCAGUGUUAUUUACUUCAUCUGUCAGUGGUCAUAUUGUUGUGCCUGAUCGGUAUAUGAAUUCUGCAUCAUACCAGACUUUGAACAAAAGUUUGCAUGGAAAAACAGUAAAAAAAAUUAAAAAAUAAAUAAAUUUAACAAGCUAACUGAUGGACAGUUGUACAAAACUGCUGAAUUUGUGACCAUUACUGCCCGUCCCUGUAAUUUGCAUGUCCACAGCUGCAAACAUUUACCCUUGUGCAGCAUAUAGUUCCACUGAAUUUGUGCCUUUUCUGGUCUUGCAAGGAAAACAUGUCAUUUUUGAUCCUGUUCCUCUCAGUUUCCACUUGAUCUAUCAGAACUCAAAUCCAUUUCAAAGUGACUCUUACUUUAAAUUAUUCAUUUUUUUCUGCAGGUUAAAUGUUGUAUUUGUUCGACAGAACUGUUGUACAUCAAUAAAAGCACCUCGACAAUGCUGAGACAUUUCAGAGCGAGGCAUGAAAAUGAGGUCACAAAUGCACCCGGAAUAAACACAGCUUCCAAGAAGCAUGCAUUGGACCAGGCAGUUCUGAAUUUCAUCCUAAAGGACUGCCAACCUCUCAGCAUUGUUGAGAGUUAGGGGUUCAGGGAACUGCUUCAGGUCCUUGAGCCAUCAUAUGUUUUGCCAACCAGAAAGACUACCAAAGGAAUGGCCAAAAACAUAUGAGAAGGAACGAGAACGAGUGAAAAUGGAAGUACAGCAAACUGUGGCAGUGAGUAUAACAGCUGACGUGGACGUCUCUGAACACGUAGGCUUACUUGGCUCUUACCUGUCACUACAUUAAUGAGAAUAUGCAGUUGUGUACAUCUGUGUUGGGAGUGCAACACUUUCCACAAAGUCACAUUGCUGACAAUUUGGCCUGAGUCAAAAGGGGCAUGAUGGAUGACUGGGCCAUAACUAAUAAAGUAAAUUGUCUUGUGACCGAUGCAGCACCAAACAUGGUUUCAUCUGCAAGAAGUCUCCAAAUUCGGCAUUCAGUUCGCAUUGCACACACUCUCAAUUUAAAAGUAAAAAAAAAUCAUGUGAUCAAAUCCCUACACUUACAAUCAGACACAAAUCUAGCCAAACUGUAACACACUUCAGAUCAAGCACCAUAGCCAAAGAGAAGCUUGCUCAAAUGCAGCAACAGAUGGGACGGCCAACCCUGAAACUCACCAACGAGGUACCAACAUGCUGGAAUGGCACAUAGCAAAUGCUGGCGAGGCUACAUGAUGAGAAGGAACCAGUGUGGGUAUCUUUUGUCUCUAAAGAACAGACAUAACUCCACUUACAGCUGAUGAGUUUACCAUCAUAGGAGAAGCACUUCUUGUGCUUGCUCCUUUCCAUCAGGCUACAGUGGAGUUGUCUGAAGAGGAGAGUUUCAGGGUCAAAGGUCAUCCCCAUGAUGAAAAUGCUGUCUUGCACUUGAGUAUAAUGCUUCAAAUCUGCGCACACAGGCAGCAAUACACCUCCACUAACACUUUAGGCCAGUGGUUCCCAACCUGUUUGGCUUGGAGCCCCCCCUAAAAGCUGCACCCCCCCUUUGUUAUUGAAUUGUUCAGGAAAGCAUUUGGUUGACAAUUUCUUUCUUCCUCUCGUCUUGUAUAUGUAUUUUAUUGUAUUUAUUUUUUAUAUUUAAUGUAUUUUAUUGUUUGUUUUAUGCUCUCUGCUCCUCUGCUGUGCCCUGUGAGCGGGUGUUCUCUGAAGCUGGAGAAGUUGCAUUAAAAAAAAAAAAAAAAAAAAAAGGUAAUCGCCUGAAUUUCAAGACGUUGGAAAAACGUCUGUGUUUGAAUAAAAAUUUAUAAAAUGAAAAAAAAAACCUCCCUGCCUCAAAGACAAGUACAUAAGCAUCCUCACAUUCAGAGAACCCAGGUGCAGGCACAGAUAUGUUUUUAUUUAAACAAAACAGGAACUAAACCAAUACAGAGAAAGGAAAACCAAACGGGGGAAAACUAAACCAAAUCUAUACUAAAAUAAGUCACACUACAAAACCUACAAAAACCCACAGCUAAUCUACAAAAACCCAAACAGGGAUAAACUGAAGCAGGCAACGAUACAGACUUCCAAGAAGCAUGCAUUGGACCAGGCAGUUCUGAAUUUCAUCCUAAAGGACUGCCAACAGGUACUUACAAAACCAGGGAAGCUUAGCUACAGGGCCAAGGUAGGCAGACAGGGAACAAAAACAGGAACCGGGAGCAGAGUCCAUGGAGCUGAAGCAGUCGGGAGGUAAGCAGGGUUUGAUGGGGAGAACAGAAUCCAAGAGGGGAACCGAGUCUAUGCUCGGACGAGUAGUGACUGAAUGAACUUUAUAUUGCAUGAGGUGAUUGUGAACAGGUGUCCUGAGUGAGCUGAUUACUGCAGCUGACAGUCAUUGCAGUAAUCAGCAGGUAGCAGAAUGCAGGCAGGUGAAACAGGGAGCGCAGGAGGGCGAGUGAACAGGGACAGAGAGACAGGAGGGAGAGAUGACAGACAGAGGGAGCCAAACAAACAGACAGGUCAAAACAGAUAAACAGAUGAGGAACCAAGGGAGAAAGAAGGAAAAAGAGGGAUAAGGGGGAAGAAGGGCAGGGGCUGGAGCAGUGAUCAUAACACAAGGUUUGUUCUUUUUUUUAUAUAGUUUCAUAAUUGUGAAACUGCCCUAGAACCGAGGACAGUGAUAGCAGAGUGUAAAGUCUAUGAGCCAGUCACAAAUCCAUGGGAGGGGCCAUCUGGAUAAAUGCACUUCUGCAAUGGACAGUUCAAUGCUAAAGUUAAAUUGGAACUUGAAAGGUUAUUGGUAAAUGUGCCAGGCUGGGGUCACACUGAGGCCAGUACAACCAUUCUGGUGCAUGAUCUAAGUAUCUAUAAUGGAAUAGCAAAUGGGAUUUGGCUGCUUGUGGAAGAUGUAUAUGCAUAAUUGCCUAUGUAUGCCAUGUUGACAACAAAACCACAAACCACCUGUCAGUGGAGUCAAGUAGACAGCAUCCUCACAAUGUCUUCUUUAAAUGACUACACCCUUUAAAAAAAAAAAAAAAAAAAAAGUUAGAUCUAGCGAUUGAGCAGGCAAAGGCAUGGUUCCAAUGUUCUGGUUCUCCAUCCAGACUUUAAUUAACCUUGCCUUGUGGCAAGGGGCAUUGUCUUGUUGGAAAAUCCAGUCAUCAGAGGCAGGAAAGAGUUUUCCUGCUGAUGGAAGAAGACUGUUUUCAAGAGUAGCCCUGUACAUGAUCUGGUUGAUUCGCCCUUCACAAUAUUGCAUUUGCCCUGUUCCACUCAUACUGAAACAACCCCAGAUGGUCACUGAUCCACCCCCAUGUUUUACUGCAGGAGCAAGACAGUCUGGUUUGUAGGCUUCUCCAGGCUUCCUCCUAACCAGUAAGUUAGCUGGAGUGGGCAUCAACUGAAAAUUGGAAUUAUCACUGAAGAGAACCUUAGGACAAUCAUCAACAGUCCAAUCCUUCUGAUCCCAGCAAAGAGUAACUGGGCUUUCUUCUGUCUUUCAUUGAUGAAGUGCUUCUUCCGUGCCGUGUGACUUCAGACCAGCUUCAAGAAGUCAGUUUCCAACUGUCCUUGCCAAACAAGUCACAGGACAGUGUCCACUUAUUUUUAAUUUCCCUGAGGGGUCUGAUGAUGAUUCAUGACGCAGGAAUAGAUGAGUGCAUGGUCAUCUCGUGGGGUAGAAAGACGUUUCCUGCCGCGACCAGCUAGCAAUUUGGUAGUACCAUGUUGGGCUUGUUUUUUCUUUGUGUAAUGAAUGGCUGCCUUGGAGAUCUUCAGGUUUUUCGCUAGCUGUCUCUCACUCAUGCAAUUUCCAGCAGUGCCAAGAUGGCGGCCUUGUGGCAUCACAUAAUUCUUUUGUUUUAGGCAUUAUGUGAGAGCUGACAACUUGUGAGAAAUCACAGGGGUUUAUUAACAAAAACUCACAACAAAAACAAGGCAAUGGGAGGUCACCAAAAUGAAUGUUAAAUCAGUGUGUAAUUUUGCAAAAACUAUGCCAGACUUGUUUUCUCUGGACCCCUGCCCAAUCUGAUCAGUGGUGAUAUGUACCGCCGUAUGUCAUCAUUCAUCUCUGGCUGUUGAGGUGUUGUCCAGAAAACAAUUUGGGUUACAUAUAUCAUUGAUAAACUCUACUAGGGGAACCUGGAUUGAUUAAAACAGAUAGCAUCCAUCCCAUUUUGGAUGAUACGGCUGUCUAUUCUUGAGGAGUAUGGCAGAAUUUAAUAAAGAUUGUUAUUAAAAUGUCAUCAUAAAACAGGAAAAAUAAAUGUGUUUCAAUAAAUAUUAGAUGUCUAAAUCUAUGUUAGUUCAUUAUUCAAUAAAAGAUCAUCAUGUUGACUUGCUGUGUCUCACUGAAACCAGGUUGCAGCAUGAAGAAUUGAAACUGUUCAAGAAUGAGGGUCAGAUUAACAUGUCAUUUUUUACCACUGUUGUAAUUUCUGGUGUGUUCUUGUAGUGGCCAUAAAAUAGACGGGGCUUUAUUCAGUCUAGAAAACAGUAUGUAGCUUUACACACUUUCAGCUGGCUUGGGGCACUUUGAAAAGUUAAAGUUACAUUUUUACUAUGCCAGAAUAUUACACUGUGAAAUGAUGACCCUCCUUCUUCGCUCACCUCUGCACAUCGAGGCUACAGAGUGACCUGUGGACUGAGUAAGCUAGUGUAAACAGUGUACUUUGGACUGCUGAUAAAGUGGAGUAACAACGGUGCUGGAAAAAUCCAGAUGAAGCUGGAAUGACCUUACUACUGAAGACCAGCUGAGUCAGCAGCAAUACGCAAUACGUUGGACAACGUGACAAAUGCUUGGGAGAAAAGUUUAUUUGCAACCUUAAACAGCUAUUCAUAAACCUGAUUUCCAGCAGUUUUAUGGGGAUGGCCAAAAGAGCAUAAUGAUGACAUUCUGGGGCAGAAUUAUAGUCCAUUAUGCGAAUCACAAUUCUCAACACAAAUUUAGUUGAACUCAUGUAUCACAUGAUUAGUUGUACAUAUGGCUGCCCGAAUACAAAGUAUUCCACUUCCAAGUAUUCCAACCCAAGACUUAAUGCCAAACUCUCAAAUAUCUGCAUCCUGUUUUCACUUAGUUUGACUCACCAGGUGUAGGAUCUGGGUAUACUGUUUUCAAAAUCCCCUUCACUAUGCAAAACUACUACAACAACCUCCAGGUUGGCAACCUUGCACACUGAAAGUGUCAGUUUUUUGCUAAAUAUUUGGAUAACGAAGGAAGGCAGCCCUGUUACUUUUUUUCACUCUUUUUUCAUGACAGUGCUUGCCUUCCUCUGUGCAAGUGUUCCAGAACUAACCAAGACUGUUUUUCACUCUGAUUUUAUUAUGGAAGUACUUCCACCGCUUUGGUACUUCUUUCAGGAUGGUGCUUCGCUCAGUGCUCAUCUUUGGUCACCAUGCUGUCUUCUGUUCACAAAAUACGUUACACCCUCAAGAUACUUCGUAUAUCCAGUGAGCAGUGUUCUGUGUCACAACCAUUCUUUCGUUGAUUGAUUGGCGACCUGUAUAAUUUCUCUGACAAACAGAUGUGCCAAAUUAAGAUUGUUGAUGACAUUAGAUCAAAAGACUGCCACCCAAUGUUUUGAUUAGCUAGAAUUAAGCUCUUGGUUGUUACUCUGAGCUGGACCUGUCUUAGCUUUUAAGCUUGAAGUGUCAGUGAAGUUGCUUUUCUUGAAAUAUUGUGAUUUUUUGUACUGCAAAGCAUUUUUUUCCCUCCCCCAGGCUUGUAUAGAUAAACAUAAUUUACAGUAACUGACAAAUCUUGCAUUGAAAGCACUUUUUAAUGUUCUUUGUACCUCCUUUGUUGACUGUUUUCUCCAAAGCAAGUCACUGUGUUGAGUUUCUUUGUGUACUCCAAACAAUGUGGAACAGAUUUUAAACUUGGAAUAACAAUUACUUACCUAAAAUACUGCAAUCCAGAAAAGAGAGAACACUGGAACUGACCGCGUCUAUACAUGUAAUGAUAGCGUUAUGAAAAUGGCAAAACAGCACAUGGCUACAUUGGCAGAAUACUGGAUUGUAUUUGCAUACAAUUACAGCCUAUUGCAUUUUG